rnacentral:rRNA from 1 species
CCAAUAGCGUAUAUUAAAGUUGUUGCAGUUAAAAAGCUCGUAGUUGAAUUUCGGGAUCAAUUUAUUGGUCGUGCCAACGGUACGUACUGGUACAAUUGGUUUCUCCCUUCUGACGAAGCAUGAUGUCAUUAAUUUGAUGUCGUGGGGAAUCAGGACUGUUACUUUGAAAAAAUUAGAGUGUUUAAAGCAGGCUUUGGCUUGAAUACAUUAGCAUGGAAUAACGAAAUAGGACGUUUGAUUCUAUUUUGUUGGUUUCUAGGAUCGACGUAAUGAUUAAUAGGGAUAGUUGGGGGCAUUAGUAUUCAAUUGUCAGAGGUGAAAUUCUUGGAUUUAUUGAAGACUAACUACUGCGAAAGCAUUUGCCAAGGAUGUUUUCAUUAAUCAAGAACGAAAGUUAGGGGAUCGAAGACGAUCAGAUACCGUCGUAGUCUUAACCAUAAACUAUGCCGACUAGGGAUCGGAUGAUGUUAAUUUUUUAAUGACUCAUUCGGCGCCUUACG